rnacentral:rRNA from 1 species
UACGUAGGAUGCAAGCGUUGUCCGGAAUUAUUGGGCGUAAAGAGCGCGCAGGCGGUUUUACAAGUCAGAUGUGAAAUAUCCGGGCUUAACCCGGAGGGGUCAUUUGAAACUGUGAGACUAGAGUACAGCAGAGGAUAGCGGAAUUCCCGGUGUAGUGGUGAAAUGCGUAGAUAUGUGGAGGAAUACCGAUGGCGAAGGCAGCCUCCUGGGCCAACACUGACGCUCAUGCACGAAAGCGUGGGGAGCAAACAGG